CAAUAGCGUAUAUUUAAGUUGCUGCAGUUAAAAAGCUCGUAGUUGGAUUUCGGGUGGGAAUGGCCGGUCCGCCGUUUCGGUGUGCACUUGCUACGCCCACCUUGCUGCCGGGGACGUGCUCUUGAGUUCACGCUCGGGACACGGAGUCGGCGAGGUUACUUUGAGUAAAUUAGAGUGUUCAAAGCAGGCCUACGCUCUUAAUACAUUAGCAUGGAAUAACACGAUAGGACUCUGGCCUAUCUUGUUGGUCUGUAGGACCGGAGUAAUGAUUAAGAGGGACAGUCGGGGGCAUUCGUAUUUCAUUGUCAGAGGUGAAAUUCUUGGAUUUAUGAAAGACGAACUACUGCGAAAGCAUUUGCCAAGGAUGUUUUCAUUAA
rnacentral:rRNA from 1 species